AUGGUUGUUAUGCAAUAAGUGUGAUUUUAACAAUUCCAUAGACUUCAUAGAAACAUGUUUUUCACUGAGAUCAUUGGUUUUAAGAAAAAUAGCAACAAUUCUUAAUAUUUUGUUUUCCACACAUCAAUGUAGUUACAUUUCAUUAUUUGCAUAUCCUAAAUCAAUGGUCGCUUAGUCACCAAUAAAACUUAAAAUGUCAGCUAAAAAUGUUUUU